UUGGGGAUAUUGCACAAUGGGGGAAACCCUGAUGCAGCGACGCCGCGUGAGGGAAGAAGGUUUUCGGAUUGUAAACCUCUGUCCUCAGGGAAGAUAAUGACGGUACCUGAGGAGGAAGCCACGGCUAACUACGUGCCAGCAGCCGCGGUAAUACGUAGGUGGCAAGCGUUGUCCGGAAUUACUGGGUGUAAAGGGAGCGUAGGCGGUAUUGCAAGUUGAAUGUGAAAUCUAUCGGCUCAACUGAUAGGCUGCGUUCAAAACUGUAGUACUUGAGUGAAGUAGAGGCAGGCGGAAUUCCCGGUGUAGCGGUGGAAUGCGUAGAUAUCGGGAGGAACACCAGUGGCGAAGGCGGCCUGCUGGGCUUUAACUGACGCUGAGGCUCGAAAGCAUGGGGAGCAAACAGG
rnacentral:rRNA from 1 species